UAACGCGAAGAACCUUACCAGGUCUUGACAUCUUCUGCCAAUCUUAGAGAUAAGACGUUCCCUUCGGGGACAGAAUGACAGGUGGUGCAUGGUUGUCGUCAGCUCGUGUCGUGAGAUGUUGGGUUAAGUCCCGCAACGAGCGCAACCCUUAUUAUCAGUUGCCAGCAUUCAGUUGGGCACUCUGGUGAGACUGCCGGUGACAAACCGGAGGAAGGUGGGGAUGACGUCAAAUCAUCAUGCCCCUUAUGACCUGGGCUACACACGUGCUACAAUGGACGGUACAACGAGUUGCGAAGUCGUGAGGCUAAGCUAAUCUCUUAAAGCCGUUCUCAGUUCGGAUUGUAGGCUGCAACUCGCCUACAUGAAGUUGGAAUCGCUAGUAAUCGCGGAUCAGC
rnacentral:rRNA from 1 species